CAGAAUAAAAGCAUUUACACUUUUUCAGUUCAGAAAGAUGAUUCCCAGCUCUCUACAUGCCAGCAAUGGCAGCUGGAGCAAGAACCUGUUUUGGAACCACGCUGCUGUUGCAAACAAGAAUACAGUGGUGUGCUUUACCAGAGCACCCACCUACAAGACUCCUUUUUUCUUUCAUAGGUCUACUUUUCAUUGAUGGAAAACCCUACUCCUCUGCACCAUGCAUGGCUUUGGUAUGCUAGGUUCAAAGAGCAGAACAGUAUAAGAGAAGAGUGUUUAGUCAGAGUAUGGAAAAAAAUGAACUAGACAAUUUAUCAAGUACAUUCCACAGCAAAAGCAGGGUAUUUUGAAAAACAAACAAACAAACAAAACAAAACAAAACAAACAA